rnacentral:piRNA from 1 species
UCUUCUGUCCGUAGACAACAGAACUCCAGGUC